UCAUCUUAAAGGUUGAUCAGAAUGGGUGAGAUUUAAAUAUGGAAAAUCUAGUCCAAGUUCUGGAUAUUUGAUACUUUCUAAAAUCAAGCUCUAGAUUUCAUCCUCGCAUUGUUUUCUAACCUGUAGCCAUUUGCAGCCUAGCUUUUUUUUUUGACCACCCUUACAUAUCACAUGUCAAGGAAUUUCAUCGGCCAUUAUGAGGAAGAGAUGACAAAUCUAGUGCACUACAUAUACAUACUUAACAUUAAAAUAACAAAAUAGAAAA
rnacentral:lncRNA from 1 species